rnacentral:rRNA from 1 species
UACAGAGGUCCCGAGCGUUGUUCGGAUUCACUGGGCGUAAAGGGUGCGUAGGUGGUGAGGUAAGUCGGAUGUGAAAGCUCGGAGCUCAACUCCGAAAUGGCAUUGGAAACUACCUUGCUCGAGGGUUGGAGGGGGACUGGAAUACUUGGUGUAGCAGUGAAAUGCGUAGAUAUCAAGUGGAACACCAGUGGCGAAGGCGAGUCCCUGGACAACUCCUGACACUGAGGCACGAAAGCUAGGGGAGCAAACAGG